rnacentral:rRNA from 1 species
GACGAACGCUGGCGGCGUGCUUAACACAUGCAAGUCGAACGCUGAAGCUCAGCUUUUGUUGGGUGGAUGAGUGGCGAACGGGUGAGUAACACGUGAGUAACCUGCCUCCUUCUUUGGGAUAACGCCCGGAAACGGGUGCUAAUACUGGAUAUUCACUGGUCUUCGCCUGGGGGUUGGUGGAAAGGGUUUUUCUGGUGGGGGAUGGGCUAGCGGCCUAUCGGCUUGUUGGUGGGGUGAUGGCGUAACAAGGCUUUGACGGGUAGCCGGCCUGAGAGGGUGACCUGGAACAGUGGGACGGAGAUGCGGCCCAGAGGCCUACGGGGGGCAGCAGUGGGGAAUAUGGCACAAUGGGCGCAAGCCUGAUGCAGCGUCGCCGCGUGAGGGAUGGAGGCCGUCGGGUUGUGAAACUCGUUCGCUCAUGGUCAAGCCGCAACAAUGGUUGUGGUGAGGGUAGUUGGUAAAGAAGCGCCGGCUAACUACGUG